GGGUUGUGAGGUUAAGCGACUAAGCGUACACGGUGGAUGCCCUGGCAGUCAGAGGCGAUGAAGGGCGUGCUAAUCUGCGAUAAGCGCCGGUAAGGUGAUAUGAACCGUUAUAACCGGCGAUACCCGAAUGGGGAAACCCAGUGUGAUUCGUCACACUAUCAUUAACUGAAUCCAUAGGUUAAUGAGGCGAACCGGGGGAACUGAAACAUCUAAGUACCCCGAGGAAAAGAAAUCAACCGAGAUUCCCCCAGUAGCGGCGAGCGAACGGGGAGGAGCCCAGAGCCUGAAUCAGCAUGUGUGUUAGUGGAAGCGUCUGGAAAGGCGCGCGAUACAGGGUGACAGCCCCGUACACAAAAGCGCAUGUGUUGUGAGCUCGAUGAGUAGGGCGGGACACGUGGUAUCCUGUCUGAAUAUGGGGGGACCAUCCUCCAAGGCUAAAUACUCCUGACUGACCGAUAGUGAACCAGUACCGUGAGGGAAAGGCGAAAAGAACCCCGGCGAGGGGAGUGAAAAAGAACCUGAAACCGUGUACGUACAAGCAGUGGGAGCACAGGUUUACCUGUGUGACUGCGUACCUUUUGUAUAAUGGGUCAGCGACUUAUAUUCUGUAGCAAGGUUAACCGUAUAGGGGAGCCGGAGGGAAACCGAGUCUUAAUUGGGCGUUAAGUUGCAGGGUAUAGACCCGAAACCCGGUGAUCUAGCCAUGGGCAGGUUGAAGGUUGGGUAACACUAACUGGAGGACCGAACCGACUAAUGUUGAAAAAUUAGCGGAUGACCUGUGGCUGGGGGUGAAAGGCCAAUCAAACCGGGAGAUAGCUGGUUCUCCCCGAAAGCUAUUUAGGUAGCGCCUCGUGAAUUCAUCUCCGGGGGUAGAGCACUGUUUCGGCUAGGGGGCCAUCCCGGCUUACCAACCCGAUGCAAACUGCGAAUACCGGAGAAUGUUAUCACGGGAGACACACGGCGGGUGCUAACGUCCGUCGUGAAGAGGGAAACAACCCAGACCGCCAGCUAAGGUCCCAAAGUCAUGGUUAAGUGGGAAACGAUGUGGGAAGGCCCAGACAGCCAGGAUGUUGGCUUAGAAGCAGCCAUCAUUUAAAGAAAGCGUAAUAGCUCACUGGUCGAGUCGGCCUGCGCGGAAGAUGUAACGGGGCUAAACCAUG
rnacentral:rRNA from 1 species